rnacentral:lncRNA from 1 species
UGUUUCCCGACACGCUUGAAACACCGUCGCUUGGCCGCCAGGGGUCGCUGAUUCCCCCGGCUCCCUCCUCCAGUUUGCCCGCCUGACUGACUGACUGCCUGCCCGACAAGAAAUGUUGGCAAAACACCCCCUCCUCAUCGUGUAGAGAGAAAAAAUGGCGGACAAGCGCUAAAUCCACACCAGAAACAAACACACACGUUACAAAGCAAGGCAGACAUCCUCGGAUACGACCGAGCAGCGCCUCCCUUCAGGCUCGGCUCCAGCGUUGAACCCAGAUUAGCACUGGCUAGCCCCAGUGCGCUGAGUGGGAGCCAGUGUUGCAUCGUGAGCUUGGUCAGUAUUGUUGGAGCAUGA